AAUACAACAAUAUUUUUACUGUGUAGAUCUUUUUAAAAUGGGAAUUGCACUUAUGAUAACAAGGGGACUUAUGCUAACCGAAUCAGCUUUACAGAAUGUAAUACGGAAAUAUGGUAAGCCGGAGCGUUAUAUGUGGUGCCAAAGUGAAAUUGCUGUGCCUCCAAAGGCAGUUUUAUCGGAUGGAAAAGAAGUACCCCUGAUUGGACUGGGAACCUGGAUGAGCCCUCGUGGUCAAGUUACAGAAGCUGUUAAGGUUGCCAUUGACGCUGGAUAUCGACACAUUGAUUGUGCGUAUGUAUACCAGAAUGAGAAUGAAGUUGGCGAAGGCAUUGAGGCAAAGAUUAAGGAAGGAGUUGUGAAGCGCGAGGAUUUGUUUAUUACAAGCAAGCUUUGGAAUACCUUCCAUCGUCCUGAUUUGGUUAGAACGGCUUGUGAGAAUUCUUUGGAUUUAUUGAAGCUAAAAUAUCUGGAUAUGUAUUUAAUUCAUUGGCCUAUGGGAUAUAAAGAGGGUUGCGAUUUGUUCCCUGUUGGAAAAGAUGGAAAAACAUUGUAUUCCCCGGACGAUUAUGUAGAUACCUGGAAGGCUAUGGAACAGCUUGUCAAAGAUGGCCUUGUGAAGUCUAUUGGUGUUUCCAACUUCAAUAAAGCGCAAAUUGAGCGUAUAUUGGCAAUUGCCAAGAUUCCUCCAGCUACAAACCAGAUUGAGUGUCAUCCAUAUUUGACACAAAAUAAAUUGUGCGAUUUUUGCAAAUCGAAAGAUAUUGCAAUUACAGCGUACAGUCCCUUGGGUAGUCCAAACCGUCCUUGGGCCAAGGAAGGAGAUCCAGUUAUUUUGGAGGAAGACAAGAUCAAAGAAAUUGCGAAGAAUAAGAAUAAGACCUCUGCUCAGAUUCUUAUACGAUAUCAGAUUCAACGCACAAACAUUGUCAUUCCCAAAUCGGUAACCAAGGAACGAAUUGAAUCCAAUUUCAAAGUAUUUGAUUUCGAGUUGUCACCUGAGGAAAUUAAAACAAUAGAAGGCUUUGAAUGUAAUGGACGCUUGGUACCACUUCUUAAGGAGAGUGGAUCACAUAAAUACUAUCCAUUUCAUGAUGAAUAUUAAAUAAUAUCAAAAGAAAUUCAAGACGUCAGUAAAAAAAAAAUUUCAAGGAGAGUUACAUAAUCAAUACGGACAUCCACAUCAUCCAUUCGAGCACGAUGAAUACUAAAUGAGUCCCAAAGACCAUUGUGGAUUAUCUGUAUACAUAUAUUAUAUUAUUUUAAAUGAAUGAUAUGCAUAAUAAAAUGAUAUAUGAAUACA